rnacentral:tRNA from 1 species
GGGGUGAGGAUUUUGUUGACAGGAAUCGCUAUUUUCAGCAAAUAGCUGAGGGAUAUGAAGUUUCUCCUGCUGUGCGAGUUAGUGUCAAUUUUC